rnacentral:rRNA from 1 species
UACGUAGGUGGCAAGCGUUGUCCGGAGUUAUUGGGCGUAAAGCGCGCGCAGGCGGUUUCUUAAGUCUGAUGUGAAAGCCCCCGGCUCAACCGGGGAGGGUCAUUGGAAACUGGGGAACUUGAGUGCAGAAGAGAAAAGCGGAAUUCCACGUGUAGCGGUGAAAUGCGUAGAGAUGUGGAGGAACACCAGUGGCGAAGGCGGCUUUUUGGUCUGUAACUGACGCUGAGGAGCGAAAGCGUGGGGAGCGAACAGG